UGAAAUUGCACGCUUUCCUGGGUGCUCCACCUACUUGUUAAUUUUGCAAUUUCAGGACUGUUAUAUGCUGUAAUACUUAAUAACUCUUCAUUUUAUCACCCAGAUAGUAAGGUAUUUAUGUCAUACUACUCUGCUGAUCUUCUUUGUCUUUGUUUUAUUUUUAUUUUUCAGAUGGUGUGUAAAUCUUUUUGAAUAUGGGCCUGCAGAUAAGUUAAACGGGAGAAGGAGCGCUGACAGACAUAGAGGCGAAGAGGAACUAUAUUAAUCUUAAUUGCUCAUUGGAAAUAUAACAAACUGCUCCUAGAUUCUUUACUGUGAGGUAACUUUGGAAAGAAGAAGUUAAUUCUUUCUUGAUAUCUAAAAAAACAAAUAUUGUAAACCACAAAAUAGGCUAAAAAAUUACUUAAAGUAGACCAGAGGGAGUAAUAUUUAAUCAAUACAGUUACCUAUAAUAAUUAUUUAAAUAAUCUGAUAUAAUAUAAAUAUACAGAAGUUAUAGUCCAUAUCUAGCCCUUAGGGGUCAUUUGGGAUGAGUGAUAAGGUGGGAUAAGGCGUAAGAUUAAAUUUAUACUGUUAUAAAUUUAUAUCUCCAACCAAACAAGGUAUAAAUUUAAUCCUAGAUUUAAUCUAGGAUAUCCCAUCUUAUCCCAUCAAAUGUGGGAUUAUUUUAUCUCAUCUCUCAUGUAGUAUAAAUUAGUACCGGGAAUUCCGGGAUAAUUUAGUCCGUGUUACACGACCACUUAUAUAUUCAGCCACAAUCAUAUCAAUUCCUCCGUCUCUUCUUCCUAUCAUAUCCUUCAAAAAUUUGAUUUGCCAUUUUUUUCAAUCCUAAAACUUAAUUCCCAUAUUAAUUAUGUCCAGAAUGGUCAACAUAAAACUACAUUGUCAUUGCAUACUCUUCUUUAUCUUACUUUCUUCAGCUGCAGUUUCACAAGGUUCCAUAACUAACACAUAAUAUUGCAUCUCAUUCAUUGAGUUUCAAGCUUCAACAUUAGAAUUAAUUCCUCAAAACUUUAUUUUAUGUAAUAUAGUUUCUGUUGCCGCAGGGUCAAGAAGUCAAGUGACAAUUUCUCAUCAUCGAAAAGCCAGCGGCAUGUUUGCAGCCCAUAGAGAAUUACAAUUGAAGGUAGAAAUACGCGCACAUUUUCUUGUACAUGUAUUUAUUUUAACUCGUAUACAAUUACAGUGUC
rnacentral:lncRNA from 1 species